AAAUUUGGGCUAUAAGAGCUCAGUGCAAAGCUUCCUGUAAGCAUGGGAAAAAAACCAAGGCACAGUUCCACGGAAGGUAGUUCAAUCCUUCAUUUUCGUCUGAUUAGUACUUGCCCUCCAAGUAUUAGAUUUCUUGCAAUUUUACCUUUACAGUGCUCUUAUAGUUUACCAUUUUGUUUUGAGAUGCUUUUAAUUCUUAUUACAUAGGGAAGCAGUAGUUCAUGUGUGUGAAUUUUUGUUUCGUUGUGUUUGGGGUUCAGAAGUGAAUGCAUUACGCAGGGAUGGCUGGCUGUCAGCUUAUCCCACGUAUCCUUUAUGUUUUCGCUUUAUUCAUGUGCUGAAUUAUGGUUCCUCUCUAAAUUGAAGAACUAAAAAUGGCAAGCAAUCUAAAAAGCAAUUGGUUUCUCAUCGUUUCUUUGUUUUGUAAUUUUCAUUUAUUCAUCUUCUUUUGACAGUUUAUUCAAUUGUAUUUUUGGUUUUCCCUGCUUGUUUAUUUUAUGCUUGCGUGUUCUUUUAUAUGCCUGAUGUCUUUCUGUACAAGUGAUGCAUGAAGAUUUUUUGUUGUUCUUAGCUAAUAGAUAUAAUUUCACGGAUUAUGUUUUUAAAGUCAGACAAAAUACUUCUUGAGGAUAACUGGGGUUGCCGGGACCUGUUUUCACUACAAAUAGGAUGUAUCUUUUAUAUAAAAGAAGAAAAUGAGAUCAAGGAGGGAGUGGAAUGAGAGGAGAAGUCGUCACUUUCUCUCAGGUCUCUCUAGACAAGGUUUCCAAAUAGUUUUCCCUUAUUUUUUGUAAUUGUCUUUUUUUUUUUUUUUUUUUUAGUUUAAUGAGAUGGAAUUAAAUAGUUAAGUUACCAUACUAAUGAAUGUACUUUAUUGAAUUUUUAGUAAUAAGAAUGUGACAAAAUGAACACCUUUUUGUGUUU